rnacentral:rRNA from 1 species
UACGUAGGGUGCAAGCGUUGUCCGGAAUUAUUGGGCGUAAAGAGCUCGUAGGCGGUCUGUUGCGUCGGCUGUGAAAACCCGGGGCUCAACCCCGGGCCUGCAGCCGAUACGGGCAGACUAGAGUUCGGCAGGGGAGACUGGAAUUCCUGGUGUAGCGGUGAAAUGCGCAGAUAUCAGGAGGAACACCGGUGGCGAAGGCGGGUCUCUGGGCCGAUACUGACGCUGAGGAGCGAAAGCAUGGGGAGCGAACAGG